UAUCAUUCCAAUAUUAUUAAGAAUUAUGAAUGAUCAACUGAUGUUUCUGUAAUGAGCACUUAUUGGUACUUAGGGUUACCAGAUAGACGUUUUUAUAACAGGCAUGUCAUCUAUGCUUCGAGCAGCCACAGCAAGUAUUCAGGGGAGUCAUUUCCAGGAAUUUCUAAUGCUCUGUUUGAAAUUAAAAGCAAGGUGGACCCUUGCAAGGCUAGGGGAGAAGUGAAGAGAAAGAUUUCUGUUGCUGCCUUCACAGUGCAGGCAGCUUCAGAGGCUUUGAACCAAGU
rnacentral:lncRNA from 1 species